CCUGCCAGUAGUCAUAUGCUUUGUUCAAGGGCUAAGCCAUGCAUGUCUCAGCGCAAACGGUUCAACAGUGGGUCUGUGAAUGGCUCCUUACAUCAGCAGUCAUCUACGUGAUAGAGUGUGGAUGCAGCAAGUUCCAAGCUGCCCAUCGGACAUCCACGAAAACCUUGUGGCUAAUACACGGAAGCAAGGGUCCCUCACAUCACCGCUCUGGCGUGGGCUCUGCCCUGCUGGAGAGUGAGGGACUGCAACCAGCUGAGCUAAAAGACCGGCGCCUGAACAAGGCAAAGUCAUGGUGAAUCAGGCUGGUCCGAAUGGACACUGUGCUGGCUUCAGAGUCGUGAUUUGUCACGCAAGCUUGAUCACACGAACUUCUGACCUAUCAGCUACGAUUGUGGUGUAGCGGACCACAAUGGCUUUGACGGGUAACGGAGAAUUUGGGUUCGAUUCCGGAGAGGGAGCCUGAGAGACGGCUACCACUGCCAAGGCGGGCAGCAGGCGCGCAAAUUGCCCAAUGCCAAAGCUGGUGAGGCAGCGACGAACUGCAGCAAUUCUGCUGACUUCAUGUCAGCAGGACUUGGAAUGGAUGCUAUCCAAACACAGUGAUGAGUAACGACUGGAGGGCAAGUCUGGUGCCAGCAGCUGCGGUAAUUCCAGCUCCAAGGGCGUAUACUAACAUUGCUGCUGUUAAAGCACUUGUAGUCUGCCACUGGGCAGCAGGUCUGCUGGGCGGCCUGGCAUGCUUGAUCGCUCCGGCGUGAUGGUGUGCUGGGAUAAAACCCCCAGCAGUGUGUCCUGCUCCCGCAUUUCAGUGAUGGUUGAGCAAUGCUCCAGUCCGAGAUCCCCUUCAGUGGGGAUUGAGGCGGAUUCGCACCCAAAGCAUGCGUGGGGUUAGAGGCGGAGAGCGCCCAGUGCGCGAUCGCUGCCCACCACCGGAGACCACCAUCAGUGACACCCUGGAAAACUCAGUGUGCUCCAAGCGACCUGCAAAGGCUGGAUGCCUAUCCAUGGAAUGUCAAAGCACCGACCUGAUGUGGCAGAGAUGUUGUGCCGGGCUUGAUGCCCAUUGAAGGACAAUAUGGGUCUGACCCCAGCGUCAGAGUGGCGUCUUCGGACGUUCACCUCAGAUGACUGUGGGUCAGUCUCCAAACGAAGACGAUGGGAUUGCUCAGGGCGGAAGGUACUGCAACGCCAGAGGUGAAAUUCUUAGACCGCUGCAAGACCAACUGCAGCGAAGGCGUUCUGCAAGUGCAUGUUCGUCGAUCAAGAAUGAGAGUGUGGGGAGCGAAGAUGAUCAGACACCGUCGUAGUCCACAACUGUAAACCAUGCCAGCUCGGCAUUGGUGAGGCAAUUCAACUGAACCAUAUCAGUGCCAUGCCCCCUUCAACGAGAAAUCCAAGCCAUUGGGUUCAGGGGGGAGUACUGUCGCAAGGCUGGAACUUAAAGGAAUUGACGGAAUGGCACCACAAGGCGUGGAGUAUGCGGCUUAAUUUGACUCAACACGGGGAAUGUUACCAGGUCAGGACCUUGCCAGGAUGGACAGAUUGAGAGCUCUUUCUUGAUCCUUGGGAUGGUGGUGCAUGGCCGCUCCUGAUUGGUGGAGUGAUUUGUCUGGUUGAUUCCGAUAACGAGUGAGAUAUCUGCCUGCCAAUAGCCCCAGUCUCGCACUUGUAGGGCGGGCCUCAGUGGCGUCCCUUCGGGGUUCAUCGCUGCAGGUCCCCUGAGAGUUCUGGGAUGCUUCUCUGAGGUGCUGUGUUCGCUGCCAAGAGCACGCAUGCAAGAGCCAACAGCAGGUCUGUGAUGCUCCCAGAUGUCCUGGGCCGCACGCGCACUACAUUGAUUCAGUGAAGGUGUCAUGCUCCUUCGUGGAGCCCUGCCCAGAGGUGGGUGGGAAACCCUGCAAAACUGAUUCGCGAUGGGGAUAGAUGAUUGCAACUGUCUGCCUUGAACGAGGAAUGCCUAGUAUGCGCGUGUCAUCAGCACGCACCGAUUGUGUCCCUGCCAUUUGUACACACCGCCCGUCGUUGCUACCGAUGACAGCUGGAUAGAGCCAUCAGGAGGUUGCGAGGCUAUGCCUCAGCCAAAAUUGGGCAAUGUCCAGCUGUUAGAGGAAGCAAAAGUC
rnacentral:rRNA from 1 species